UACGUAGGGUGCAAGCGUUGUCCGGAAUUAUUGGGCGUAAAGAGCUCGUAGGCGGUUUGUUGCGUCGGCUGUGUAAUCCCGAGGCUCAACCUCGGGUCUGCAGUCGAUACGAGCAAACUAGAGUGCUGCAGGGGAGACUGGAAUUCCUGGUGUAGCGGUGAAAUGCGCAGAUAUCAGGAGGAACACCGGUGGCGAAGGCGGGUCUCUGGGCAACAACUGACGCUGAGGAGCGAAAGCGUGGGGAGCGAACAGG
rnacentral:rRNA from 1 species